rnacentral:pre_miRNA from 1 species
GGAGGGAGGCCGGAUCCUGGGCUGUGUCCCAGCGCCCUGUGCUCCGGGGCCUGCGCUGUUGGAUUAGCGCUCCUGCCCCACAGCCCCCU